GUUUGGGGCUAAGAGAAUGAAGUUGAUUAAAGCAUAUUACAUACUACGAUGGAAGGAGUUCAAUGGAAGCUGCAUUAUUGUUGCGCGCUCUGAAGAAGAAAAGAAUUAAGAUUGUUGGUGUUCCUUAGGGUUGACGUCUAAAGAGUGGUGCUGGUGUGUAUUCUAAUCUAAGAAUUGGAUUUGGAUCGGAUCCAAGACAUGUGAAGGUAUGAAAUAAAAGGGGAAGAGGUGGCUGACAGGAACUGCAUAAGAAAUGGCAAUAGAAGCAUUUGUUGAUGGUGGUUGCGUACUUGGCUAGCUGUGGGAGUGGACCACACGACAUGGAGUUUGUGUUUUGGAUGAAGAUUCCUCUGCUUAGUGUUGUGACUUGCGAGCACCAAAGCGAAAAUAGAUGCCUCUCUGUUUGUUAAGCUGCUUAGCUUUUACUGGGUCAAGAAAACUUUUUCUCUAUGUAUUCAUAACAUUAUUAAUUAACCGAGUUUAGUGCUUGGUCA